rnacentral:rRNA from 1 species
GACGAACGCUGGCGGCGUGCUUAACACAUGCAAGUCGAACGGAAAGGCCCUGCUUGCAGGGUACUCGAGUGGCGAACGGGUGAGUAACACGUGGGUGAUCUGCCCUGCACUUCGGGAUAAGCCUGGGAAACUGGGUCUAAUACCGGAUAGGAGCCAUUUUUAGUGUGAUGGUUGGAAAGUUUUUUCGGUGUAGGAUGAGCUCGCGGCCUAUCAGCUUGUUGGUGGGGUAAUGGCCUACCAAGGCGGCGACGGGUAGCCGGCCUGAGAGGGUGGACGGCCACAUUGGGACUGAGAUACGGCCCAGACUCCUACGGGAGGCAGCAGUGGGGAAUAUUGCACAAUGGGCGCAAGCCUGAUGCAGCGACGCCGCGUGGGGGAUGACGGCCUUCGGGUUGUAAACUCCUUUCGCUAGGGACGAAGCUUUUGUGACGGUACCUAGAGAAGAAGCACCGGCUAACUACGUG